UACGUAGGGGGCAAGCGUUGUCCGGAAUCAUUGGGCGUAAAGCGCGUGUAGGCGGCUCGGUAAGUCUGCUGUGAAAGCCCAGGGCUCAACCCUGGAAGUGCAUCGGAUACUACAAGGCUGGAGUACUGAAGAGGACAGCGGAAUUCCCGGUGUAGAGGUGAAAUUCGUAGAUAUCGGGAGGAACACCAGUGGCGAAGGCGGCUGUCUGGGCAGAUACUGACACUGAGACGCGAAAGCGUGGGGAGCAAACAGG
rnacentral:rRNA from 1 species